UGUGAUCACUCCUCCAUGCAUGUUCUCCUGCUAUUCUGAUGUCAUCCACCCCAGGUUCUCGCCAAGCCAAGCAGAAGUCUGUGCCAUGACCCGAUCCUCCACGACUAAAAGGCAGCUCCAGCUUUGAGGACCCUGGACACCAUCACCCACUGGCCCCUGCUCCCAGGGCAGGUUGCAAGCGGAUGCCCCGUUGGCUGUGAUCACUCGGCUUCUCUGUAGCUCGCCCACCAUGCGCUCGGUGCUGCUCAGUGGCCACAGCCCGCCAGUCUCCUGUGGGAUGUCCCUGGCCCUGCCGUCACCCCUCCUGGUCCCUGCACAGCCACCUCUCAUCCUACAGCGCUGCAGUGUGGAUGCACCGCUGUGGUCAUAGCUGUCAUCGUCGUCCCCUACUGUGGGCAGCUGCUUCUGGACCGCACAGCUCAUCGUCUGUCCCUCCUGCUCAGUGGCAUUGCUGCUAAGUGGGGAUGCCUGCAUGGGGAUCCAGGUGGCCCUAUCUCAGAGCCCAUCUACUCAAUUCUUCCUGCUGUCUGCUCCCAACAAACCCUAUGUCCGUCCUUGAUCUCUGCCUCUAGCCCAGGGUAAUACUCCUGGCUGUUUUCCUCAACAACACAAGAGAAAUGUAGAAGGAUUGCUAGGUAAAUCAUCUGGAGAAAUCAGUACUUCUUUGGGACUUCUGGCUGCUUUGGGUGGGGGAAAUUUUAUCUUUUUCCACCUUCCUCUACAGGAAAGGGAAAGAGAUGGUAAGGGCAUGAGAAAGCGAUAGCCACAUCCCUCUUUAUCAGGUGAUGGGCGAACAGC